AACGAACGCUGGCGGCACGCCUAACACAUGCAAGUCGAACGAGACCUUCGGGUCUAGUGGCGCACGGGUGCGUAACGCGUGGGAAUCUGCCCUUCGGUUCGGAACAACAGUUAGAAAUGACUGCUAAUACCGGAUAAUGACGUAAGUCCAAAGAUUUAUCGCCGAAGGAUGAGCCCGCGUAAGAUUAGGUAGUUGGUGGGGUAAUGGCCUACCAAGCCGACGAUCUUUAGCUGGUCUGAGAGGAUGAUCAGCCACACUGGGACUGAGACACGGCCCAGACUCCUACGGGAGGCAGCAGUGGGGAAUAUUGGACAAUGGGCGAAAGCCUGAUCCAGCAAUGCCGCGUGAGUGAUGAAGGCCUUAGGGUUGUAAAGCUCUUUUACCAGGGAUGAUAAUGACAGUACCUGGAGAAUAAGCUCCGGCUAACUCCGUG
rnacentral:rRNA from 1 species